UCUGAUCCAACGAUCAGGGUAAUGUCUGAUAGUUGUCGCCGCUAAAGGGUUUUAAGCGGACAAAACCCUUCAUCCCUCCCUUUCCCUCCAUUCUAUCCUACUAUACCCCUUCACCAUCGAUCCGUCGGUCUCCGCCAGCCGUAAUGCGGGGCUUUCGGUGUCUGUGAGCCCGUUCCAAGCUGUGCUCCGUCCACCCCACUCAAAUCACCCAAGAUUCCGGCCAACUCCACUCAAUUCCAAGCACCUCCGGUAACGACCACUGAAAUCCGACCACCUCCGGCGACAUACACGUUUUUGUAGGUCACCUCCACUAAAAUGUAACCACUUCCGGUCAUCUCCGCUGAAAUCCGGCCAACUCUACUGAUAUCCGGCCACCUCUACUGAAAUCCGGUCACCUUCACUGACAUUCGAUCACCUCCGCUAUCAAAGAUAUUGUGGGAAGUGCCUAUUAUAUUGCACCCGAAGUCUUGAAGAGAAAAUACGGACCAGAAGUUGAUAUAUGGAGUAUUGGGGUCAUGCUAUAUAUUCUUCUGAGGGGAGUUCCGCCUUUCCGGGCAGAACCUGAGCACAGGAUAUUCAAUGCAAUCUUGAAAGGGCACGUCGAUUUCACGAGUGAUCCGUGGCCUUCCAUAUCUCAUCAGGCCAAAGAUCUUGUAAAGAAGAUGUUGACUUCAGAUCCCAAGCAAAGGUUAACAGCUCAUCAAG